GAUGAAGAACGUAGCGAAAUGCGAUAAGUAAUGUGAAUUGCAGAAUUCAGUGAAUCAUCGAAUCUUUGAACGCACAUUGCGCCCCCUGGUAUCCCGGGGGGCAUGCCUGUUCGAGCGUCAUUACAACCCUCAAGCUCUGCUUGGUGUUGGGCCCCGCCGCCCCGGCGGGCCCUAAAAUCAGUGGCGGUGCCGUCCGGCUCCGAGCGUAGUAAUUCUUCUCGCUCUGGAGGUCCGGGUGUGUGCUCGCCAGCAACCCCCAAUUUUUUUCAGGUUGACCUCGGAUCAGGUAGGGAUACCCGCUGAACUUAAGCAUAUCAAUAAGCGGAGGA
rnacentral:misc_RNA from 1 species